UACGUAGGGUGCAAGCGUUAAUCGGAAUUACUGGGCGUAAAGCGUGCGCAGGCGGUGAUGUAAGACAGGUGUGAAAUCCCCGGGCUCAACCUGGGAAUGGCGAUGGAGACUGCAAGGCUAGAGUUUGGCAGAGGGGGGUAGAAUUCCACGUGUAGCAGUGAAAUGCGUAGAUAUGUGGAGGAACACCGAUGGCGAAGGCAGCCCCCUGGGUCAAAACUGACGCUCAUGCACGAAAGCGUGGGGAGCAAACAGGAUUAGAA
rnacentral:rRNA from 1 species